GCGCCACUAGCUCAGUUGGUAGAGCACUCGACUUUUAAUCGAGUUGUCACAGGUUCAACCCCUGUGUGGCGCACCA
rnacentral:tRNA from 1 species